AUUGAACGCUGGCGGCAGGCCUAACACAUGCAAGUCGAGCGGAAACGAUCCUAGCUUGCUAGGAGGCGUCGAGCGGCGGACGGGUGAGUAACACGUGAGAAUCUGCCCAUUAGAGGGGGAUAACCUGGGGAAACCCAGGCUAAUACCGCAUAAUCCCUACGGGGGAAAGCAGGGGAUCUUCGGACCUUGUGCUGAUGGAUGAGCUCGCGUCGGAUUAGCUUGUUGGUGAGGUAAUGGCUCACCAAGGCGACGAUCCGUAGCUGGUCUUAGAGGAUGAUCAGCCACACCGGGACUGAGACACGGCCCGGACUCCUACGGGAGGCAGCAGUGGGGAAUCUUGGACAAUGGGGGCAACCCUGAUCCAGCCAUGCCGCGUGUGUGAAGAAGGCCUUCGGGUUGUAAAGCACUUUCAGUAGGGAGGAAGGCUUAUCCUUAAUACGGAUGAGUACUUGACGUUACCUACAGAAGAAGCACCGGCUAAUUUCGUGCCAGCAGCCGCGGUAAUACGAAAGGUGCGAGCGUUAAUCGGAAUUACUGGGCGUAAAGCGCACGUAGGCGGUUUGCUAAGUCAGAUGUGAAAGCCCCGGGCUCAACCUGGGAACUGCAUUUGAAACUGGCAGGCUAGAAUGCAGUAGAGGGAGGUGGAAUUUCCGGUGUAGCGGUGAAAUGCGUAGAGAUCGGAAGGAACACCAGUG
rnacentral:rRNA from 1 species